UACGUAGGGUGCAAGCGUUAAUCGGAAUUACUGGGCGUAAAGCGUGCGCAGGCGGUUAUGCAAGACAGAGGUGAAAUCCCCGGGCUCAACCUGGGAACUGCCUUUGUGACUGCAUAGCUAGAGUACGGUAGAGGGGGAUGGAAUUCCGCGUGUAGCAGUGAAAUGCGUAGAUAUGCGGAGGAACACCGAUGGCGAAGGCAAUCCCCUGGACCUGUACUGACGCUGAUGCACGAAAGCGUGGGGAGCAAACAGG
rnacentral:rRNA from 1 species